rnacentral:rRNA from 1 species
UACGAAGGGGGCUAGCGUUGCUCGGAAUUACUGGGCGUAAAGCGUGCGUAGGUGGUUCGUUAAGUCUGAUGUGAAAGCCCUGGGCUCAACCUGGGAAUGGCAUUGGAAACUGGCGACCUAGAGUGCGGUAGAGGGCAGUGGAAUUCCCGGUGUAGCAGUGAAAUGCGUAGAGAUCGGGAGGAACAUCUGUGGCGAAGGCGACUGCCUGGACCAGCACUGACACUGAGGCACGAAGGUCAGGGGAGCAAACGGG